rnacentral:misc_RNA from 1 species
GGCUUGUUCAUCAAUGGUUUUGCCAUCAGUGUCGCCGCUUUCAGAUCUACUUCUCAGGUGUUAAGUUUCCGCUUAUUACAUCACUUAUGGCUGCACAUUGAAUCUUCACCCACUGUGCAAAUUCUUUCCUUCUGUGAUCGAGAUUGUGCAGGGUGAAGCUUGUCUGGUGGCAUCAACAGUUGUCACCACCUCAUUCAGGAGCGAAUUUGUUUUGUUAUUUGAGCAAUGUCAAGCGCUUACUUGUCUCGUUCUCUCAAAUUUCUUCUAGAAUGGAGGAUCUUCCUCUAGUUCUCCAAGUAGGUGUUUUCAAUUCCUUAACAUGCUUUGGAUGUGCUUACG